AUUGAACGCUGGCGGCAGGCUUAACACAUGCAAGUCGAGCGAGGGGCGGACGGGUGAGUAAUGCGUGGGAAUCUCGCUUAUGGAGGGGGAUAAAUACGGGAAACUGUAGCUAAUACCGCAUACCAAGAGAUGAACCCAUGUGGGAUGAGGUAGUUGGUGAGGUAAAGGCUCACCAAGCCGACGCUCUCUAGCUGGUCAGAGAGGAUGACCAGCCACACUGGGACUGAGAAACGGCCCAGACUCCUACGGGAGGCAGCAGGGGGGAAUAUUGCGCAAUGGGCGCAAGCUGAGGCAGCCAUGCCGCGUGAAUGAAGAAGGCCUUCGGGUUGUAAAGUUCUUUCGGUAGGGAGGCGUUACCUACAGAAGAAGCACCGGCUAACUCCGUGCCAGCAGCCGCGGUAAUAC
rnacentral:rRNA from 1 species